rnacentral:lncRNA from 1 species
GCAUCAUGUAAACUCAUACUAAUUACUAAUAUAUUUUUAAAUAUAAAAGUAUAAUCAAUUUAAGCAUAGAGCUGAGGCUUUAUAAGUACUGUGGUCUCUGUAAGAUGAUUUACUAAGAUGGACCUGUCUCAAUAUGUGCUAAAACCAAUAUAAUAGCAUUUAGUGUUUUAAUAUUAAUUUGAGUUGGUAUUGAGGAAAACAUUGCCAUUCCCAUUUCCCCCCAAUUUUCCCACUACUUGUUAAUAAACGCGCACAACGUUGACCGUAGGGAGAGGCCCUUUUUGACCCCGUACAUGCUUCAAAUAAUGGGGUUUUAAAAACGUCUUGUGAAUUAGAGUCGUUUGUUGAUGGCUGUGAAAAGCCACAGUGUUACACAGCAAACAUGCGUUAUUAGUGGUGAAUUCGGCCUAGUGGGUUCUACGUAUUAUUAAAGAAUUUACGGUAAAACAGUUGGCGGCUAUUACAAAACCAGUUCGUGUUCUACAGCAUUUAGGCUUUGUCAACGUGCGGGCGUUUUGGUGCUAAAUGAACGAACUAAUGAGGUUGUGUUUACACACGUGGUGGCGCCGGUGGACACGAGGGGGCGCGUCGUACUUAUCGUUAGUGAACUUGGAGAGAGACUACAAACGCUACGAACUAGAAGAUGAAAAGAAAAGUGGUGUCGAAAGGAUGAGACGGCAGCGGAAAAAGAGCCGGACGGAGCAGCGUAUGGCGAAAAUCACAGGAUCCACCCAGAGCUCUCUGUCAAUCUCCAGCCUUGUGAUGACAGCAGAUCCCGGUAGCGACAGACUGUACGACCUGAAAGAGCAGAGCAGAACAGGAGAGUGACAGUGACAACCGAUUGAACAGAUAAACAGACUCCUUCAUUUGUGGCUAAAUGGGAGCCUAACAGGAACCCACAGGACAGCCGGUUGUGCUGCCCAGGGCCGAAGCUACCGUGCUUCAUCCUGUCUACGUGAAAGGUUUGUUUACAUCAAACUCUGGCUGAAACUCCAGUGACUUGGAGGCGGGUGGCUGGGGAGAAGAUGCGUGCUGAAUGAGGCUAUCUGAAUGAUUUAGCAGACAAGGUGUGAGCCAUGAUGGUGUGAAGGUUAAAGCAGUAGUUCAGGUAGAACAUUGAUUGUUAUACUCCGUCUUGCUGAAAUAAAGAGGACAUGGUUCAAUAUGGUUUUGUCUCA